rnacentral:rRNA from 1 species
AUUGAACGCUGGCGGCAGGCCUAACACAUGCAAGUCGAACGAGUGGCGGACGGGUGAGUAAUGUCUGGGAAACUGACCGAUGGAGGGGGAUAACUACUGGAAAAGGUAGCUCAUACCGCAUACCAUCGGAUGUGCCACGAUGGGAUUAGCUAUUAGGUGGGGUAACGGCUAACCUAGGCGACGAUCCAUAGCUGGUCUGAGAGGAUGACCAGCCACACUGUAACUGAGACACGGUCCAGCCUCCUACGCGAGGCAGCAUUGGGGAAUAUUGCUCAAUGGGCGCAAGCCUGAUGCAGCCAUGCCGCGUGUAUGAAGAAGGCCUUCGGGUUGUAAAGUACUUGCAGCGAGGAGGCGUUACUCGCAGAAGAAGCACCGGCUAACUCCGUGCCAGCCGCCGCGGUAAUUC